rnacentral:rRNA from 1 species
CCUCUGGUGUACCGGUUGUCACGCCAGUGGCAUCGCCGGGUAGCUAUGUUCGGAAGAGAUAACCGCUGAAAGCAUCUAAGCGGGAAACUCGCCUUAAGAUGAGAUAUCCCUGGGGACUAGAUCCCCUUGAAGGGUCGUUCGAGACCAGGACGUUGAUAGGUCAGGUGUGUAAGCGCAGUAAUGCGUUCAGCUAACUGAUACUAAUUGCCCGUAAGGCUUGAUCCUAUAACA